GGGCUCUUGGCGCAGCUGGUAGCGCGUUCGCUUCGCAUAGGUAGUUGAAAGGCAAUGUGUGCGAAAGGUCGUUGGUUCGAUUCCUACAGUGUCCA